rnacentral:lncRNA from 1 species
GGCUCAUGGUGGUUCAUAGCCAAGUGCUCCAAAAGGUGAAAACAGGGACUGACAGACCGGCUGCAUGUCUAGUCCUUACAAUAGAGACAGAGAAGCUACCAAACAGAGGAAGGGAAGGCUGUAGGUGAGCACCGAUGCUUAGAUGACAUACCCUGCAAACACGUCUCAGAGUAGCAACUGAGAAUCAUAGACUCACGAUUUGACAGCUGAGUUCCUAAUAAUGUCAUUUUGAGAGGUCCUGGGUGUUUCAGAGGCUGGGUGAAGUUGGCCACUGUUGUCAGGUCCUUGGGGUGUAUAUCCCUGGCUCCCUGCUUUCUGCUUCCUCAUCCACUACAAUAUGAACUGAACCCCUUUGCCAUGCCUUCCCCGAUGAUGGUUCUACACUCUGCAAAGGUGAACAAGCUGUAAUCGUUUGGAGAAGAAUGGCCCUUAUAAGCUCAUGUAUUUGAAUGUUGGUCCUCAGCUGGUAGAGCUAUUUGGGAAAGAUGAGGAGGUGGGGCCAUGUUGGAGGAGGUGAGUUGUGGAUUUAAGAAGCCCACUCUUUUUCUCAAUAUUUCUCCUGUCUCCUAUAAUUACUCUCAGCUACUGCUUCAGCUCCACAAAAACCUGCCUGUUGUCAUGCUCUCCACCAUGACAGUCAUGGACUCUAACCCUCUAGAACCCCGAGCACCGUAUUAAUGCUUUCUUUUAUAAGUUUUGUCACGGAAAUAGGAAAGUAAUAAGGUCACUACCUUUUCAAAGUUCUCCUUAAUUACUCAAGUUCCUCAUUUUUAAAAUGGAGAAACAAGAAACAAGUUGAGGCCACAAACAGGAUUUGAAAAUGGUAUGACUAUGGUGGCUACUCUGGGUUGUCAACUGAAGGGAACCUCAAAAGCUAGGCAACAAAAAACCUUUUCCAUUUAUAAGACAAUUGGUCUCAGGUAUUUGUUAUAGAAACAGAAGAUGACGAGCCUAGGACUGAACUUGUAAAGACACCAAAAGAGAAGAAAAUAAAGAAGAAAGGUGGGUGAAAGAGGCCUGGGUUCUGCCACUCACUACCAGACUCCAGGUAGACACAACCCUGACUCUACUUAGAGUAAGUCCAAAAGAAUGUAACUAAUUCAGGAUGUUCAAGUCACGAAACAGCAAGCCUCUCCCAGUCACUAACAGGGAAGUAGAGGUGUACAUGUGAUCAUUAUUUUCUCCAAGACAUCAAUUGUUAUUUUGUAUUCCAUCACCUUAUAUAACUCAGUCCCUCCCAUCAGUGCAGCUAAAAAAAGAAAAGGAAAUAAGUACACAACACAUCAGUUACUGGAAUCUGCACCUCCAUUUCUGAGCAAUAGAAACAGCUGAUGGCACAGAUAACUGUGAGGCCCCGCCUCUCUCUCCGGUUUCAGUUCCUGACCAGUUGAACUUUCUUUUAAUCAGAAUUACUUUCUUUAUCCGUAGUGAAAUGAUAGGUUUAUUAGAAUUACUCACAGGAGCUUGAGUGAAGGGGUUUCUUACUCAAAAUCAAAUGCAUCACAGAAAUGCACCACCCAACCAUGGGUGAUGACCCCCAAAGCUGAAUGACUCCCACCCCCAACUCCCCAGAUUCAUUCAUUCAGUUAAGAAAUUGUUGAAGGUGGGCAGUGGUGGUGCACACCUUUAACCCCAGCACUCGGGAGGCAGCAGCAGAUAGAUCUCUGUGAGUUCCAGGAUAGCCUGGUCCACAUAGUGAGUUCCAGGACAGCCAGGGCUGAACAGAGAAACUGUGUCUCAAAAACAAA